rnacentral:lncRNA from 1 species
AAAGAUAUUUAUAAUAAAUACACGUUAAAACUGAAAUUUUGGUAUUUAUUAUUUUAUAUAAAACUAUUAGUUUAUAAUUAUAUAUCAUAUUACCAUUUUUUGGUCUCUCCUCUAUUUUAUGUUUAUAUAUUUAACAUCAACUUACACGUCUCUCUCUAUUUAACAAUUGAAACACAUAUUUUCUCUAAGAAAAUAAAUAAAUCACUAUAAAACUGACAGUAAAAAAACUUGGAGAAUAUUUAACAUAUAUCCUGAAGAGUUUUAUGGAGAAAAAAAACUCUUGUAGUUUCUUUAUUUAAGGGCAUGUGACCUUAUGGGUGAUGUACUCUCAAAUUAUCCUUGUAAAAAAAAGUUUUGUCAAUCUUGUCCAUUGAUAUAGGCAUACCGCCAAACCACGUUAAAUCUUAUAUUGUUUUCUUUCUACUUUUGUUUUAUGGUGAUUGUGCAUAAUUUAGCGAUUAAUUUCCUCAGUAAUUAGUAUCAGAGCCCGAGUUUUAACAGAAAGUAAUAUCAGAGGAAAGGAAAGAACCAUAUGAGAUUUAUUCGAUUGCCACCUGACGGAGAAACAAGAAGUGGUGUUGUGGCAACGACAAAUAAAAAAUAAAUCAAUUGUGCAGUGAGGGGACAACUAAAUCUACGUGAAGUGAAGUGGAUUGCAACAAAGGAAGUAGUGCAAAUGGUGCAUGGUGCGCCGUAAUAAAAGAAGGUUACAUUUGUGCGCGAUACAACCAAAAAGCUUUGUGCAUGGUGAAAGAAAAAGAUCAACGCAUGACGACUAAAUCUAGGCAUUGGUGGCAGAACCGAUUAAAGAAGUCAAAUCAUGCAGCAAUUUUUCAUACUUGCGCAUGACGCGACUUCGACUAGAUCUGCAACAUUUUCUAUUUGUUUCUUUGAGUUCAGGUGCUCCUUUUGGUGAUUUUCGAUGGCAGCAAGUGGAUGGCACGUGAUAGAACUGGUGGAAGUGCAUGUGAUGGUGCGUGGUCGUCAUUGGUGGUGCGUGGAAGCGUGGGUGUUACUCCAAUGGUAGUGCGUAGUGGUUUUUUAUGCAAUAGUGCUUCCUUGUGAGUAAUUUUUUGUUUAUGACAAUAGGAGUUCUCUCUUCUUUUUUGUGCAUAGUCUAAAGAUUUAAGAUAACAUUCAAAAAGUAUGAGAUUGAGAAGUUUGAUGGUGGUACGAGUUUUAAUAUGUGAAAUAUUAGAAUGAAAUCGUCCCUAGUUUUACAAAGUUUGUGAAGAGCAAUUGAAGAAAAAUUUCCUAAGGUAUGAGAAAGUCUAAUAAGGCAUACCUGCAAGAGAGAGCUUUAGGUACGAUUUUCAUGAGUGUGACUAAUAAUAUUCUAUAGGAAUUUGCUGUAGAAGUCUUAUCUUCAGCUGCGUGGAAGGAAUUAAAAGAGUUAUACUUUAUAAAAUCGCUAAUGAACCAUCUUUAUUUGAAGAAAAUGUUAUACAAUCCGAAAAUGAGUGAAUGUACAUCCAUUAAACAACAUUUUAAUGAAUUUAAUUAUAUUAUUAUGGACCCAAAUAACAUAGAUAUCAAGAUUGAUAAUGAGCAUCAGACAUUAAUUGUACUGUGUUCAUUUGUCAUCCUUUUAUAAGACUUCUGUUGAUACUCUACUGUAUAGAAAGAUUAGUAUUUCACUGUAUGAUGUUAGUAAUGCACUAAAAUUAAAUAAGUUAGAAAAAAAACUUUCCAGAAUAUAUAACAGAAGUGGAGAGUUUGGUAAGUAGAAAAAGAGCACAACCAAAGGCUAGAUCAAAAUCGAGAGCUAAAAAGACAAAUUGUUUUGAAUAUGGAGAAUAGAGUCAUUUUAAGAUAGAUUGUCUUAAGCUGAAAAAAGAAAUAAGUAGGAGAGUUCUACUAACAUGGCCAACAUGAAUAAUUUUUUUUGACAACAAUAGCACUAUUACUAGGAAUGUUCUAUUUGUGAGUUCGGAUUAUAUAAAGAAUUCUUAAAUUUUUUAUUCUUGUGCUAUAUUCUACAUGUGUCCACAUAAGUAUUUAUUUGCUACCUAUAAACAGAUGAGUUGUAAUGUGUAUAUGGGAGAUGAUAGUCCAUCUAUUAUAGUUGGGAUUGGUACUAUCAGAUUAAAAAUGCUUGAUUGUGUUAUCAAAACUAUUAAGUAUUAGCAUGUUCCUCAAAUAAAGAAGAAUCUAAUUUUUUUUCUUAUACUAGAGUCUUAAUAUUAUAAAUUUUAUACAAAAAAUAAUGCCCUCAAAGUGUGUAAAACCUCUAUGGAACUUAUGAAAGACAGUUUGAAGUCUAGAUUGUAUGUUCUUCAAGGUAACACAUCUUUAGGGGAAGUUAUUGUGACAUUAGGGAAUAGUGAUCAAAAUUAGGCAAGAUUAUGGCAUAUAUAUUUGGGUCAUAUGAGUUAUAAGAGGUUAUUUAUUUUGAGCAGGUAGAGUUUGUUGAACAAGAAUAAAAAAUAAGCCAUGAGUUUCUGCGAAUGUUGUGUAUAUGGCAAGCAGACAAGGGAAAGUUUAAUAAAAAAACCAAUAUAUAAGACCAAAGGUAAAUUGAAUUAUAUGCAUUCUGACUUAUGGGGUCCAUACAUAGUUCUCUCUUAUAGUAGUGGCAAGUAUUUCAUGACACUAUUGAUAAUUACUCUUAGGAGGUUUGAGUGUAUUUUUUGAAAUUCAAAGAUGAUGCAUUUUCAACAUUUAUCAUAUGGAAGACUAUAAUUGAGAAGUAGAUUGAGAGGAAGAUUAGAUGUCUUAGGAUUAAUAAUGUGUUGGAAUUUUACAAUCAUGCAUUUGAUAAUUUCUACGGUACGAAAAAUAUAGUAAGACACUGCACUUAUGUUGGAACACCAUAACAUAAUAGUAUUGCAAAACGCAUGAAUAGCAUGCUUUGAAUUGAACAUAAAGCAUGUUGUCUUGUUCAGGUUUGGGAUAGGAAUUAUUUGUUGAGGCUAUAAACACUGGUUGUUACUUGGUUAAUGGAUCUUUAUCCAUAGUUAUUGAGUGCAAAAUUCCUUUUAAGAAAUAGUUUUGUUCACUUGUUGAUUACUCUCACUUGAGGGUAUUUAGUCGUCCUACUUAUGCUCAUAUGAGGGAUUAUAAGCUUGAGCCGAGAAAAAAUAAAUAUAUAUUUCUAGAGUAUGCAUCUUGAGUGAAAUGUUACAGAUUGUGGUGUAGUGAUCCGAGUCUCCAGCGUAAAUUAUCAGCAGAUAUGUGAUAUUUAAUGAGUUUAAUUCACUGAUAGUUAACAGAAGAAGUUAAUAGCAUAAUCAGAUUAUAGUCUCGGAGAACAAGUAGAGCUAUAAGUUUAAUCCAAUGAUCCAAGGAAUAAAGUGCAGGUUCUUCACGAAAAAGAUAAUUACGUACCUGAUCAACAACAACCAUAUAAUAUGUAACAGGCAAGUAGAGAAGAAAUAUUGAACCCCCACAAAAGUAUGAGAAUCUAGUUGCAUAUGCCUUGUCAGUUGUAGGAAUAGUUGAUUUGCAGGAACCAGGAAGUUCAAACACAGAUCAGGGGGUUAGUAUUGUGUGUGAAUGACUUGAUGAUAGAUAUCAUUUCGUUUGGAUCUCAGGUAGCAAGUUUAGGCUCGACCUAAACUUAGUUGGAGUGUGUGAUACUUAGUAGCGCCUCUGUGAUGGGCAUGUUGGCAGGACAGUGUGACGAGAUAGUCAGUUAUUUUGAUGAUAGAGAGAAUUCAAGUAAAUGUCAAGAUUUGUUGACGUGAUUUAAAUUUUAAAAAUAUCUUAUUUAUAUUCUAGG